UUGUAAUUUGUAGAAGGUGCUUCGGGCGCGGCUACGAUCCAAGUCCCUUGGAACAGGGCGUCGCAGAGGGUGAGAAUCCCGUAUGCGAUCGACGGCCUAGCCCGGGUGAAGCCCUUUCGACGAGUCGAGUUGUUUGGGAAUGCAGCUCUAAAUGGGUGGUAAAUUUCAUCUAAAGCUAAAUAUCUGCCAGAGACCGAUAGCGCACAAGUAGAGUGAUCGAAAGAUGAAAAGCACUUUGAAAAGAGAGUCAAACAGUACGUGAAAUUGUUGAAAGGGAAGCGCUUGCAACCAGACUCGUUCGCGGAUGUUCAGCUGCUCUUUGGAGCAGUGUACUCUCCCGCCGCGGGCCAGCAUCAGUUUCGGCGACCGGAUAAAGGCCCCGGGAACGUAGCUUUGCUUCGGUGAGUGUUAUAGCCCGAGGUGCAAUGCGGCCAGCUGGGACUGAGGAACGCGCAUUGCUAGGAUGCUGGCGUAAUGGUUGCCAGCGACCCGUCUUGAAACACGGACCAAGGAGUCGACCAAUCGCGCGAGUGUUUGGGUAUCAAACCCGCACGCGUAAUGAAAGUAAACGUAGGUGGGAGCCUUUGGCGCACCAUCGACCGAUCUUGAUGUUUUCGGAUGGAUUUGAGUAUGAGCCCGAUUGGUCGGACCCGAACAGAUGUGAACUAUGCGUGAAUAGGGUGAAGUCAGGGGAAACCCUGAUGGAGGCUCGCAGCGGUUCUGACGUGCAAAUCGAUCGUCAAAUUUGCGCAUAGGGGCGAAAGACUAAUCGAACCGUCUAGUAGCUGGUUCCCGUCGAAGUUUCCCUCAGGAUAGCAGCAGCGAAAUUAGUCUCAUGAGGUAGAGCAAACGAUUAGAGGUCUUGGGGUUGAAAUGACCUUAACCUAUUCUCGAACUUCGAAUAUGUGAGAAGUCCUUGUUACUUAGUNGAA
rnacentral:rRNA from 1 species